UUAGAGAUCCCUCACAUGAAAGUUUUUGAAAAACUUAUUUAUGAGUUUUAAUAGUUAUGUUACCGGUGUGUCGCGCAAUUUUUUUUUUUGUGGUUAACGGAUUAUAAUGGAAGUUAUUGCAGCAGUUGAUCUAGAGGAUGGAUCAUUUAAUGAUUGCGUUAGGAAGUUUGGUGAUUUCCUUUUUCUUUGAAUGUUGGAUGCUAGAUUAAGUUGCAUUUCUUAAUGGAAAUUACUUUUUUGGGUAAAUAAUGGAAAUGAGUUUUUAAUGCAUUUGCUAUGGAAAGUUGAAAUGAUAACAAUUUCUUACAAAUGUUAAUCAUCUUUUGGGGAGGAUGUAUGACUAAGCCGUGUUAAUUUAAGAACUAAGAGUACUACAAGGUUACAAGGUUAUUGCGUAUGCUCCGAUUUUGUAAAUUGAAAAAUCAUAUUGAUUAUAUAUAUUUCAAGUUAAUUGAUUUAUAUUG
rnacentral:lncRNA from 1 species